AUAAAAAUAUACGUGUGCCAUUUUUAAUCGAUCUGCCUUCAUAUUGGUGGAUUUUGAGCUCUUACACCGUUUGGUUCGCCGGAAAAUGGAGAAAAAAAAAAAAGAAAAAAAGAAGAGAAAAAUAUACAAACCAUUUAGUUUUUUGUUGGUUUUGAAGUUCAUAUUGCUUAUAGUUUGUUUGGGAGGAAGUGGGUUUUUAAAGUAGCAUGCUUGUUCGGUUGUUUGGGAGGAAGGC
rnacentral:misc_RNA from 1 species